rnacentral:rRNA from 1 species
UACGGAGGGUGCAAGCGUUAUCCGGAUUCACUGGGUUUAAAGGGUGUGUAGGCGGGCAGAUAAGUCAGUGGUGAAAUACCUAAGCUUAACUUGGGAACUGCCAUUGAUACUAUUUGUCUUGAAUGUCGUGGAGGUUAGCGGAAUAUGUCAUGUAGCGGUGAAAUGCUUAGAUAUGACAUAGAACACCCAUUGCGAAGGCAGCUAACUACGCGAAUAUUGACGCUGAGGCACGAAAGCGUGGGGAUCAAACAGG